CAGCCGCCGCGGUAAUACGAAGGGUGCAAGCGUUACUCGGAAUUACUGGGCGUAAAGCGUGCGUAGGUGGUGGUUUAAGUCCGUUGUGAAAGCCCUGGGCUCAACCUGGGAAUUGCAGUGGAUACUGGGUCACUAGAGUGUGGUAGAGGAUAGUGGAAUUUCCGGUGUAGCAGUGAAAUGCGUAGAGAUCGGAAGGAACAUCUGUGGCGAAGGCGACUAUCUGGGCCAACACUGACACUGAGGCACGAAAGCGUGGGGAGCAAACAGGAUUAGAUACCCGCGUAGUCCCUGUCUCUUAUAC
rnacentral:rRNA from 1 species